rnacentral:rRNA from 1 species
UUUGUUCGGCUGGAUCUUGCACAGGUGCUGCAUGGUUGUCGUCAGCUCGUGUCGUGAGAUGUUGGGUUAAGUCCCGCAACGAGCGCAACCCUCAUUCUUAGUUACCAACAGGUAAUGCUGGGCACUCUAAGGAAACUGCCAGUGAUAAACUGGAGGAAGGUGGGGAUGAUGUCAAAUCAGCACGGCCCUUAUAGGGUGGGCUACACACGUGCUACAAUGGCAACUACAAUAGGUUGCGAGACCGCAAGGUUUAGCUAAUCCAUAAAAGUGCUCAUCGUGGUUUU